CAUCAGUUUGUAAUCCAGCCCAUGGUUUCCUAGAUACCGUAUUGUCUAUUCUGUUCCGCUAUGUGAAAAAUGUUGAAUAUCAACAAUGGGUUUCAGUGCUGUAUUGUUGAGUUUUGUAUGAACUAAUCUAGCUUCUCUAAAAAAAAAAAAAAAAAAAAAAAAAAGAAAGAAAAGAAAGAAAGAAAAGAAAGAAAGAAAGAAAAAAAAAGAAAAGAAAAAAAAGAGAACCACAGCUUUGGACAAAAGUCUAUAGCCAGUGCAUUUGAAAACUCCCCUUGCACCAGGGCUGACUGUAGCUGGGGGAAGACAUUUUACUCAUUUGCUCUUUCCUUUCAUACAGUCAGCUGGUCCCUCUUCUCAGGUGUAGAUCACCUAUUAUAAUUUUACCUAAUUUUGAUACUCUGAUAAGGAAAGUCCCAGGACUUAUCAGCUGGGAUAGGCCUCACUUACAAGACAGCUCUGUUCAGUAUUUGGAAGAAAGAAAGCCUGACAGGUUUCUUCGGAAAAGUGGCCAUCCAUGGAAUGAAUGAAAUGUUCUCUUUCUAUUCCAGGGAUUGCAGUGGCAAAGCUAGGCUAGGUCUUGGAGGCUGGUGUAAGGCGAUGUGGGUGAAGGCAGGAGGCUGAUGGAAAGACUGGGGGGAAGAAAAGCCGAAAUGGAUUCACGGUGCCUUGGAUGAAGGACGAGAGGGGAACUGCAAGCUCCUUCAACUGGUUCUGUCCGGUGAGAAGUGAUCAAGCUUGGGCUGACAAGAGGCUCAGGGAGCCCUCACGUUCUUUCGCUUUUUUACCUGCCAAUCAAACUGCUACAAGACAACACCCUGAUCUGGCAUGGACAUAUCCAACUUAGAAAUAAUGUUUCAUUCAAGAUAAGGCUCGUGGCUUAGGAGAUUGUGACCUGGCUUGCAUCAUUCUAAGACUUCUAUCGUCUGUUUUCAAAACCCAAGGAGGACCUCCUUUUCUGUGUGAUAGUUCCUCAUGCUUUGCCAGCCACUGGGUCUUUAAGGAAGCUUGCCAAGAGUUCCCGGCUGGGAAGGACAGUUCGAGUUCAUCAUAGACAAUGAGCUGGCACCACAGUUUAAGUGACUCACCAACCUGGUUGCCCACUUCAAAAUGUCAAGAACCACACUAUCUAAUUGAAAGAACUGUGUUUUAGCAAAGUGUAAUUGGAUCGCCUGGCAAGAUCAUCUCAAACUAUGUCUCUGACCUUGCCUUUCAGUGGCUAUUUUGAGCACAAGAGGAGAAAGGAAAUGAUUCCUGAAUUAUAUCUUGUUUUUAAAAAUUAAGAUUAAUUAAUACUUGGUUUUAUGUUCAUUCCAUUGUAGGAACUUAGUGAUUAUUACAAAACAGUCAAAAUAGGUCAUAGCAAAAUGAACGUUUAAGAUUAGGUUAAAACAUUCCUCUGAAAUUUUAGUAUUCACUUUUGAAGUGUCAAUUACUAUAUUUCUGUAAUUUCUCAUUUUUUUCUUGGCUUAGAGUCAAGAUGAAAAAUGAUAUUUGAAUCAAAGACAUUGUUUUGUUAUAUAGCCACUCCUUUCUAAAAUGCAAAUCCACCCUCCCCUCACCAAUGCUUUAUUCUUUGUGCGCGCACACACACACACACACACACACACACACACACACACACACAGACAUACACAGAACCAGCACCCAAAUGGUAGAGGAGGUCCUUCCAAGACUUCUAGGACCUGGAUCAUGUAAGCAGUAGAUGAGAAAAUGAAGUAAGAGAUAUAGAGUAAUAACAAUAAAAGUCAAUGAUUUCAUUUUACAAAAAAGUCAUUGUGUAGUACUCAGAUAUUUUUAAGAGCAAGUAUUAUUAUGACUAAAGUAUAUUAUACUUCUAAAUUAUUAUGAUUCUCAUCUAAUUUCAAGCCACACAUAGGCGCCAUUUGAAAGCAUUUUGUGUUACAACCUAUCAACAAAAAUCAACUAAUAGUUUUAUAACGUGCAUAGGUUUACCCCAUGGGGAAUUAAAAUUUUUAUCUGCAAGUAUUUCUGUUGUUGUGAGACUUUAGGACAAGACAACAUUUGGUGUUAACAUAGAAGAAUAUUCUAUGGCUUUUUUAGCUUUAAAGUUCAUUACUCUAAAAUAAAGUACACGUGGUAUUUUUUUCUUCCUAGUGUUCUCUUAUUAUAUGUAGAGUAUUUUCGGUUGUUGUUUUUAACGUAUACAUUAUUUUUAUUAAGUCAUUUCAUAAAAGAUAAGAUAUAUACUAAUAGACCCUUGGUUUUCUCCUAAUUUAAUUAUUUCAAGUCAAGCAAAAUUGGGCAAUUUUCUUUCAGGAAAAAAAAAAUAUUGAGCAUGAUUUUGAGGUAAAACUGAUUAUUUACAGCAUCUUUUCUCUAAUAGGCUAACAUUUAUGAUGGAUCUUAUUUCAAAGUUGAUUAUUCUCAAAGAAAAGUGGAGAUAUUAGAAUUUCCGAGUAAAUUGCAUUGUUUUAAAAAGUACUUUAAUGCAUUGUUCACAUUGUUGCCAGCUAUUGACCAAAAAAGAGAAGAAGAAAAAAGAAAUAAAAAAAGCAGUAUCUGCUCCAAACGUCAAGUUUUGCAGUUUGAAAGACUUGUACAUUAUAAUUGUUUUUUUCUUUUUUGGAAAGCAGUAGUAAUUAAUACCAAAGGCAUAGACAAUUUAGGGCCAUAACCUCCCUUCCCCCCUCUCCACCUUUUUUUUUUUUUUUUUUUUUUUUUAACUUUAACCAUGAUAGGCAUCUCUGCAAGGUAGGUUUUAACAUAUUUUUUUCCUAAUUUUUUUCCCUCCAUUCAGUAAGAAGGAUAAGCUUUUAGAGUACCCAGUCACCGUGGUAACUGCCAAAAAAAUUCUCCUGAAGUUUGAAGAGGUCAGCUAGCAGGGUCAACAACCCUGGCCUCUCUCUGAGCUCGGUCUAGCAUGCCCCAGCCUGCGGUUGGAGUGUCAGGCCAGAUCUGACCCUGGGAGGUGGACCAUUCUGGCUCUGAUAUAAAUUUUUCGAGUCAGUUCAUGGCCUGGACUCUCCAGGUGGCCUCCAAAAUCGAUUUUGACCCCCUGACCCUGUCUCACGGAGGCAUAGCAUCCACCCUAAGUAAGGAUUUAGCCAGGAAUGACAGCUUUCCACUGAGUGUUAUUGGGGACAGUAUAAACAGUUUGGAAAGCAAGUAAGGAGGUGUGAGGGCUAGCAAUCAUUAAAAGCACAUUAAAAAACAAUUUUUAAAAAUCUUUAUUAGAGAAAGUUGUAAAUGCAUAUCUGUUACAGAAUUCCUGUGAUUUGUAGAGUUUUCUAGUCAGUUUUGAAUAUAAAUAGGUCACAUAUCUUUAUCUUUUUGCAUACUUUGUUACAAAUAUGCAAAUAAGAUAGGCAUACUUGCUACAAAAUAGGUACAGCAGGAAUGUAAUAUGUUCAGAAAAGGCAAACUGGUUAUUAAAACACAUUAACAGGUAAGGAGUUUCUAAUAUUUUAAAUACUAAAAUUUUACAUGUGUAUUUUGAAGUUUUUAAAAUGGAAAAAUAAAGAACCUUUAAAA
rnacentral:lncRNA from 1 species